UAUCACGAUCCAAAUUUUGGGCCAUGACAAGAGCAUGGGCCCAAUGAAUGUAAUCCACUAAGCCCAAGCAAGCCUAUUAAUCUGACAUGUUUAUCAUUCCAUCAUAAACUGCUAAGUCACAUUUCAUAACUUAGAAUCAAAAUGAUACUACACAUUGCCAUUUCAUAUUGGCAUACCAAACAAGUGUAUAUACAUUGUCUACAACAUGUAUCUUAAUAAUUUACAUUAAGUUCGUCUAUACACAACAAAAUAAUAUUCGACUUCCAGCGGAGGGACUCGGACGAAUGUACAGCCACUGAAUGCCAAGACACCUACUAAAAGAUGGAUACAAGUCUACAAGGACACCUCGUCCUAGUUACCGGCUGCCUCGUGAUUUGAAAACAUGAAGUUGAAAACGCUGAGUAUAAACCCAAUGAGUGAACAAGGAAGGGAACAAGCAACAACAAUGGAGUAUUUAAAAUCAUGAUGCACUUGUUUCAAAACAAUGCAAUUUAGUUCCAUUCAUAUUAAAAAUCCCUCAUCAAGCCCUUAAAUGAUUAAUCAUUUGAGAAUCAUGAACCCAUACAUAAUGAACCAUUUGAAGAAUGAAAGCUUCAAUGAUACACAAGCAAGUCAAAUUCGUCAACGAAUCUUCACUGCAUCAAAAAGGCAUUCUCGCUGCAGCUGAAUUUUCGUUGCAGCGACGUUAGGAUUAAGUUAUUAGCCGAACGAGGGUUUCUCAACUGGCCAAGGGUUUCUCACUAAACCUCCUCAUUUUAAACUUAACUCAUUUAGUCCUUAAUGUGGGAAGUCCAUGCUCCGAUAUGGUAGCAAAAAAAUGAAAAAUAGGGCAGCAAUUGGACAAGAUAGGAGACAAAAAUAGAAAGUUUUUCGCUGCAGCGAGAUUCAAUCUCACUGUAGCGAAAUUGUGACCCAGUAACAGAAUGUUUCUCGCUGCAACGAAAUUGCAACCCAAAAACAGAAAGUUUUUUGCUGCAGCGAGAAUGAAUUUCGCUGUAGCGAAAAGCUACUGUGUCAUUCUCGCUACAGCGAAAGUGCAUCCUCCCUGCAGCGAGUUUUCGACUAGCCUACCCCUCCAAAACACGAGGGUUUCUCGCUGCAACGAGAAUGAAAUUUGCUGCAACGAGAAUCAGAACAUCUAGAAAAAAGGUUCCCUUUUCCCCUAAAACAAAGCCAUCCUGCUAAAUAACAAAAACAACAUGUAACACAUGCAAACUCCCAAAUUUCAACAAUUUAAAUGCUCACAUUUUUGCAUUUACAACCAUAUACCAUAUAUGUAUAUAUAUAUAUAUCAAUCAUCAUAUACACCCUCCCAUCAUCAUCAUCUCAUAUGCAACGGCUUAUGCGCACUCCCACUCGCACAUAGUCGAGUCAGCAACAGCUUAUGUGCACUUCCACUCGCACAUAGCUAGGUCAGCAACGGCUUAUGUGCACUCCUACUCGCACAUAACAAGGUCCACAUCAACAUACAAAGAAGUACCCAAUGCAUAUCAUGCUUACUAUCAUAUUUUGAUAACACAUAGCAUAUUGUAUAGCACAUUUCCACAACAUAAAAUCACUUCACCAAAGGCUUGUUCCUAAGGCACAUUUUCAAAGUCAAGUUAGAUAAAAUCAUUCAGAUUCCCCAAAACAAGUUUGAAAUGCAAGUCCACUCACCAAUUGAUUGUAGAGCCUUUAAAUGACUCCAAUUCCUCUAAUUGUCCAAAUAAGAUGAUGGGGCUUCCUUAGAACCUAGGAUCACAUUAGCAUAAGCAAUAGGUCAAUUUACACACUAUGAACCCUAAAAGCUAUCUCUUAGCUAGUUUUCAAUUGCCACAUUAAAUGGCUAUCUAUGUUCAAUAUCCUAAUCACUAAAAAAGUAAUGAACAUACUCAACAAUAAAAUAGCUCAUAAUCCCAAUUACUAACCAUUUUCUACAGCUUAAAGCCGAGCUUAGUUCAUCACUCACCCUUGGGUUUCUUUGUAGUUGAAUUCCCUUCUAAUAGCUUCCAAAUAAGUGGGGUAAUUCUCUCUUUCUCUCUCUAGAAUGCUCAACUAGUGAAAGAAAGUAUGGAAAUAAGAUUCAUCAAGGGUUUUGAAGUGAAAGAGUGGAAGAAUACAAGAGUUCUAGUCAAAAGGGCUCAAAAGUAUGAAAACUAGAGCUAGAGAGAGAAAAUCAUGCAAGCUCCAUAUCACGCUUCCAUGGAGGUUUUAAAGAAACAUGAGAGAGAAGAAGAAGAAGAAGAAGAAGAAGACAAGCUGCUGGAAAAAUGGGAGAAGAAGCUGCUAGAAGAAAGUAUUUAUAGGCCAAACUUAUCCAUUCCCUUAAAAUUACCAAAUUGCCCCUCCACCAAUUAACUUACUCUCCUCCAAUCUUUUUAUGCAAUCUUUUUGUUCUUUUGACACUGGGACAAGGUCCAUAAUGGUCUAAACAUACUCGGGUUCAUGAAAACAUAAAAUUUUAACCCGAGGUGAAAAAUGACCAUUUUGCCCCUAUUAUGAAAAUCAUCAAAAUUUUGGUUUUCUUUCCAUUUUAGCCCUAAUUUCACCAUCCAUUUAUGCCUUAGGCCUACUUAGACCAUAAUAUUGUUUAAAAAUCUUACUUUUAUGGGCUUACUAAGGAAAUGACGAAAUUAUCCCUGAUCAGGGAUAUCGAGUAUACUUCCCUUUACGAGUCUAUAAAGGUUAAGGUCUCAUAGAUACCUUGAUCAGAGGCAUCCAAUCGAGACCGCCAAGGUUGUUUAAAAAGUCAUAUACGCACAAAACACAUUUUUACGUUUAAAAGCACAAUCGUUCCUUGGCAUUGGUUGAAUUCACUCUCACGUGGUGGUUCGCGUGAAGCGAACUCUAAACUUUACCUCAAGAGUUACCCUUCGCCCUUCUCGUACCGAGGGAAAAUAAAAUGUAACGGAUUUUAUCGUGCCCCUCUAAUAGGCUGAUCCACAAAAACCCACCCACUGCAGUAAACUAAUCGAUAUCCCACCAAAUCAAUAAAAUUCCAACAGCAUGACGUGGCAAUUAUUUUACAACACAGCAUGUCAAGGCAAAACAACAGUUCAUAUAUGUUUAGCAUAAUUACCAAUCCAGCCACUCAUGCCCAUAAUAUCAUAAGCCAUUCAAUUCAAACAAUGAUUUAUAACACAGCAAAUAGUCUCCAAUUACUCCAUUUUCCAAGCCAUCAUUCAAUUUCAAGACAAUUUUAUAAAAUCAUUUCAUUUAAUCACAUUUUGAUUAUAAAAUGUAAAGAUUUUCCAUUUAAACUCAUUUUUCUAUAAAAUCACAAAAACGAAUAAAAACUACUUUAGAUAAUUAAGAUGAUAAUAAGGUUACUCACAAUAUCGGGAGUUCGAAAUACCCUACUCUUGGUCCUC
rnacentral:lncRNA from 1 species